UACAUUUUAUAUAGCGGAUCAUGCUCUUCUGAGCGGUAGCACAGAGAGCUUGCUCUCGGGUGACGAGCGGCGGACGGGUGAGUAAUGUCUGGGAAACUGCCUGAUGGAGGGGGAUAACUACUGGAAACGGUAGCUAAUACCGCAUAACGUCGCAAGACCAAAGUGGGGGACCUUCGGGCCUCAUGCCAUCAGAUGUGCCCAGAUGGGAUUAGCUAGUAGGUGGGGUAACGGCUCACCUAGGCGACGAUCCCUAGCUGGUCUGAGAGGAUGACCAGCCACACUGGAACUGAGACACGGUCCAGACUCCUACGGGAGGCAGCAGUGGGGAAUAUUGCACAAUGGGCGCAAGCCUGAUGCAGCCAUGCCGCGUGUAUGAAGAAGGCCUUCGGGUUGUAAAGUACUUUCAGCGGGGAGGAAGGCGAUAAGGUUAAUAACCUUGUCGAUUGACGUUACCCGCAGAAGAAGCACCGGCUAACUCCGUGCCAGCAGCCGCGGUAAUACGGAGGGUGCAAGCGUUAAUCGGAAUUACUGGGCGUAAAGCGCACGCAGGCGGUCUGUCAAGUCGGAUGUGAAAUCCCCGGGCUCAACCUGGGAACUGCAUUCGAAACUGGCAGGCUAGAGUCUUGUAGAGGGGGGUAGAAUUCCAGGUGUAGCGGUGAAAUGCGUAGAGAUCUGGAGGAAUACCGGUGGCGAAGGCGGCCCCCUGGACAAAGACUGACGCUCAGGUGCGAAAGCGUGGGGAGCAAACAGGAUUAGAUACCCUGGUAGUCCACGCCGUAAACGAUGUCGAUUUGGAGGUUGUGCCCUUGAGGCGUGGCUUCCGGAGCUAACGCGUUAAAUCGACCGCCUGGGGAGUACGGCCGCAAGGUUAAAACUCAAAUGAAUUGACGGGGGCCCGCACAAGCGGUGGAGCAUGUGGUUUAAUUCGAUGCAACGCGAAGAACCUUACCUGGUCUUGACAUCCACAGAACUUGCCAGAGAUGGCUUGGUGCCUUCGGGAACUGUGAGACAGUGCUGCAUGGCUGUCGUCAGCUCGUGUUGUGAAAUGUUGGGUUAAGUCCCGCAACGAGCGCACCCUUAUCCUUUGUUGCCAGCGGUUAGGCCGGGUACUCAAGAGACUGCAGUGAUAACCUGGAAGAAAGGUGGGAUGACGUCAGUCAUCAUGCCCUACGAACAGGGCUACACACGGUGCUACAUGGCCUAUACAUAGAGGACGCGACUCGCCGGAGAGCCAGCGGAACCUUCAUUAAAGGUAUCGGUCUCGG
rnacentral:rRNA from 1 species